GGAUCUUUUCACAAACCUCGAUCCAAAUUUAUGCCUAAAACGCUUGGAUACACAUUUGCUUAUGAUAUUUCAACUAACAAUUAUAAGAUUGUGGCGUUCGGUUAUAGAUUUAUCAAGGUUUUUUGUUUUAAUCAUAAUGUAUGGAGAGAAAUUCAAAGUUUACCAGACAAAAUAGUUAUUGUUGAUCAUCUUGAAUACAAAAAAGGUGUGUGUUUGGAUGGCACUUUAUUUUGGUUGGCCUUUCUAAAUGAGUUCCCAUAUAAUGAUUGGCGGGAUACUCUUUCUGUUGUGAGAUAUUUGAUUAUUUCGCUGGAUCUUGCAACGGAAACACGUCGAGAGUUGUUGCCUCCUCCGGUUUUUGAUCAAGUCUAUGAUGUUAUUGAUCCAAGUAUUGCUGUGUUGAUGAAUUUCCUUUGUGUUUUUUAUAACUUUAAAGGUACCCAUUUUGUUGUAUGGCAGAUGACACAAUUUGGAGUUGAAGAAUCUUGGACUCAACUCUUUAAAAUAAGUUUUGAGAAUCUUCAAGUAGAGCAUUUCUUAAGUGACUUUUAUAGUCGAUUUUCACUGUAUCCUUUGUAUAUUUCUGAAAAUGGCGCAACACUGAUAUUGGAAAGCAAUCGUGAAUACAAAGCAAUUAUCUAUAAUUCUAAAGAUGAUAAAGUAGAGCGAAGAAGAAUUACCGAUGAAAUAAAUUGGCGUUUUUGUGAGAGUUAUGUUGAAAGUUUGGUUCCAACUAGCUGAAAAUGAAGGAUUAAAGCGGGAAACAAUCCUUUGAGCUAACCGUUGAAUGGAUCAUCUGUAUAUCUUGCUGGAAUUGUGAUAGCUGUUUGUGGAAUUCCGUAAUGUAUCAAGAAGUUGAUUCUAAGUGGCAGAGUGCUAGUUGCACUUGGAUACCUGAUGUUGUUCCUCCGUGUUUGUGGUUAUUCGUUGGCUUAGUGUUUUGUUUAUCGUCAGUGCAUUAAUAGUUGUGAUUCAUUAGAGUGAUUUGUUUCAUCUUUGCGCAGUGCAUGAACAAAUUUUAAAAUGAUAAUAUGAAUGAAUUAAAUCAGAUGCUACUUGGCAUAAAAAUUUGUAACUAAAUCCUAAUACGAGAUUUCGGCUUGAAACUGAUAUCACACAAA